rnacentral:rRNA from 1 species
GAGCGGCGGACGGGUGAGUAAUGCCUAGGAAAUUGCCCUGAUGUGGGGGAUAACCAUUGGAAACGAUGGCUAAUACCGCAUAAUGCCUACGGGCCAAAGAGGGGGACCUUCGGGCCUCUCGCGUCAGGAUAUGCCUAGGUGGGAUUAGCUAUGUUGGUGAGGUAAUGGCUCACCAAGGCGACGAUCCCUAUCUGGUCUGAGAGGAUGAUCAGCCACACUGGAACUGAGACACGGUCCAGACUCCUACGGGAGGCACCAGUGGGGAAUAUUGCACAAUGGGCGCAAGCCUGAUGCAACCAUGCCGCGUGUGUGAAGAAUGCCUUCGGGUUGUAAAGCACUUUCAGUCGUGAGGAAGGUGGUAGAGUUAAUAGCAGUAUCAUUUGACGUUAGCGACAGAAGAAGCACCGGCUAACUCCGUGCCAGCAGCCGCGGUAAUACGGAGGGUGCGAGCGUUAAUCGGAAUUACUGGGCGUAGAGCGCAUGCACGUGGUUUGUUAAGUCAGAUGUGAAAGCCCGGGGCUCAACCUCGGAAUAGCAUUUGAAACUGGCAGACUAGAGUACUGUAGAGGGGGGUAGAAUUUCAGGUGUAGCGGUGAAAUGCGUAGAGAUCUGAAGGAAUACCGGUGGCGAAGGCGGCCCCCUGGACAGAUACUGACACUCAGAUGCGAAAGCGUGGGGAGCAAACAGGAUUAGAUACCCUGGUAGUCCACGCCGUAAACGAUGUCUACUUGGAGGUUGUGGCCUUGAGCCGUGGCUUUCGGAGCUAACGCGUUAAGUAGACCGCCUGGGGAGUACGGUCGCAAGAUUAAAACUCAAAUGAAUUGACGGGGGCCCGCACAAGCGGUGGAGCAUGUGGUUUAAUUCGAUGCAACGCGAAGAACCUUACCUACUCUUGACAUCCAGAGAACUUUCCAGAGAUGGAUUGGUGCCUUCGGGAACUCUGAGACAGGUGCUGCAUGGCUGUCGUCAGCUCGUGUUGUGAAAUGUUGGGUUAAGUCCCGCAACGAGCGCAACCCUUAUCCUUGUUUGCCAGCGAGUAAUGUCGGGAACUCCAGGGAGACUGCCGGUGAUAAACCGGAGGAAGGUGGGGACGACGUCAAGUCAUCAUGGCCCUUACGAGUAGGGCUACACACGUGCUACAAUGGCGCAUACAGAGGGCAGCAAGCUAGCGAUAGUGAGCGAAUCCCAAAAAGUGCGUCGUAGUCCGGAUUGGAGUCUGCAACUCGACUCCAUGAAGUCGGAAUCGCUAGUAAUCGUGGAUCAGAAUGCCACGGUGAAUACGUUCCCGGGCCUUGUACACACCGCCCGUCACACCAUGGGAGUGGG